rnacentral:rRNA from 1 species
UAGAGUUUGAUCCUGGCUCAGAACGAACGUUGGCGGCGUGCUUAACACAUGCAAGUCGAACGAGAAAGUUUCCUUCGGGAAGCGAGUAAAGUGGCGCACGGGUGAGUAACGCGUAGAUAACCUGUCCAGGUGUUCGGGAUAGCCCUUCGAAAGGGGGAUUAAUACCGGAUACGUUAAUCUUUCACAAGUGAGAUUAAGAAAGGUGGCCUCUAUUUAUAAGCUAUCGCAUUUGGAGGGGUCUGCGUACCAUUAGUUUGUUGGUGGGGUAAUGGCCUACCAAGACAUCGAUGGUUAGCGGGUCUGAGAGGAUGAUCCGUCACACUGGCACUGAAACACGGGCCAGACUCCUACGGGAGGCAGCAGUGAGGAAUAUUGCGCAAUGGGGGGAACCCUGACGCAGCGACGCCGCGUGGGUGAGGAAGGCUUUCGGGUCGUAAAGCCCUGUCAGAAGGGAAGAAAUGUGUAGAGGUUAAUACCCUUUGCAUUGACG